UACGUAGGGUGCGAGCGUUAAUCGGAAUUACUGGGCGUAAAGCGUGCGCAGGCGGCGCGUUAAGACAGGUGUGAAAGCCCCGAGCUUAACUUGGGAAUUGCGCUUGUGACUGGCGGGCUGGAGUGUGGCAGAGGGAGGUGGAAUUCCACGUGUAGCAGUGAAAUGCGUAGAGAUGUGGAGGAACACCAGUGGCGAAGGCGGCCGGCUGGGGGUGACCUGACGCUGAGGCGCGAAAGCGUGGGGAGCGAACAGG
rnacentral:rRNA from 1 species